GGUUGUGUCAUGGCUCAGGACGAACGCUGUCGGCGUGCCUAAUACAUGCAAGUCGAGCGGACAGAAGGGAGCUUGCUCCCGGAUGUUAGCGGCGGACGGGUGAGUAACACGUGGGUAACCUGCCUGUAAGACUGGGAUAACUCCGGGAAACCGGAGCUAAUACCGGAUAGUUCCUUGAACCGCAUGGUUCAAGGAUGAAAGACGGUUUCGGCUGUCACUUACAGAUGGACCCGCGGCGCAUUAGCUAGUUGGUGGGGUAAUGGCUCACCAAGGCGACGAUGCGUAGCCGACCUGAGAGGGUGAUCGGCCACACUGGGACUGAGACACGGCCCAGACUCCUACGGGAGGCAGCAGUAGGGAAUCUUCCGCAAUGGACGAAAGUCUGACGGAGCAACGCCGCUUGAGUGAUGAAGGUUUUCGGAUCGUAAAGCUCUGUUGUUAGGGAAGAACAAGUGCGAGAGUAACUGCUCGCACCUUGACGGUACCUAACCAGAAAGCCACGGCUAACUACGUGCCAGCAGCCGCGGUAAUACGUAGGUGGCAAGCGUUGUCCGGAAUUAUUGGGCGUAAAGGGCUCGCAGGCGGUUUCUUAAGUCUGAUGUGAAAGCCCCCGGCUCAACCGGGGAGGGUCAUUGGAAACUGGGAAACUUGAGUGCAGAAGAGGAGAGUGGAAUUCCACGUGUAGCGGUGAAAUGCGUAGAGAUGUGGAGGAACACCAGUGGCGAAGGCGACUCUCUGGUCUGUAACUGACGCUGAGGAGCGAAAGCGUGGGGAGCGAACAGGAUUAGAUACCCUGGUAGUCCACGCCGUAAACGAUGAGUGCUAAGUGUUAGGGGGUUUCCGCCCCUUAGUGCUGCAGCUAACGCAUUAAGCACUCCGCCUGGGGAGUACGGUCGCAAGACUGAAACUCAAAGGAAUUGACGGGGGCCCGCACAAGCGGUGGAGCAUGUGGUUUAAUUCGAAGCAACGCGAAGAACCUUACCAGGUCUUGACAUCCUCUGACAACCCUAGAGAUAGGGCUUUCCCUUCGGGGACAGAGUGACAGGUGGUGCAUGGUUGUCGUCAGCUCGUGUCGUGAGAUGUUGGGUUAAGUCCCGCAACGAGCGCAACCCUUGAUCUUAGUUGCCAGCAUUCAGUUGGGCACUCUAAGGUGACUGCCGGUGACAAACCGGAGGAAGGUGGGGAUGACGUCAAAUCAUCAUGCCCCUUAUGACCUGGGCUACACACGUGCUACAAUGGACAGAACAAAGGGCUGCAAGACCGCAAGGUUUAGCCAAUCCCAUAAAUCUGUUCUCAGUUCGGAUCGCAGUCUGCAACUCGACUGCGUGAAGCUGGAAUCGCUAGUAAUCGCGGAUCAGCAUGCCGCGGUUGAAUACGUUCCCGGGGCCUUGUACACACCGCCCGUCACACCACGAGAGUUUGCAACACCCGAAGUCGGUGAGGUAACCUUUAUGGAGCCAGCCGCCGAAGGUGGGGCAGAUGAUUGGGGGUGAAGUCGUAACAAGGUAGCCGUAUCGGAAGGGC
rnacentral:rRNA from 1 species